rnacentral:rRNA from 1 species
CGUGCCUAAUACAUGCAAGUCGAACGCAUUGUGGUUGAAAUGAUAUGAAGAACUUGUUCAGAUUUGAUUUCAACAUUGCAAUGAGUGGCGAACGGGUGAGUAACACGUGGGAAACCUACCUCUUAGCAGGGAUAACAUUGGAACAAAUGCUAAUACCGUAUAAUAAUUAAAACCGCAUGGUUUUAGUUUAAAAGAUGGUCUUGCUAUCACUAAGAGAUGGUCCCGCGGUGUAUUAGUUAGUUGGUGAGGUAAUGGCUCACCAAGACAAUGAUACAUAGCCGAGUUGAGAGACUGACCGGCCACAAUGGGACUGAGACACGGCCCAUACUCCUACGGGAGGCAGCAGUAGGGAAUCUUCCACAAUGGACGAAAGUCUGAUGGAGCAACGCCGCGUGUGUGAUGAAGGGUUUCGGCUCGUAAAACACUGUUGUAAGAGAAGAAUGACAUUGAGAGUAACUGUUCAAUGUGUGACGGUAUCUUACCAGAAAGGAACGGCUAAAUACGUG